GGCUUCGUUCAACAUGGCGCUGCGGCCGCCUCCAGCAGUCCUACAGGACUGACGCUUCGUCUCACUUCGGAUAUUUCCGACAGCGUUCGACCGGCGGAAUUCCAGCGAAUGAGGAACGAGCGUCAACAUAAGCACAGACAAUACAGAACUGCUGUGUCACACAGUCAGUGACUUACUUUGUUCCCGGGUCUGCCACAAGAACAUCAUCCUGUAAUAAAUCAACUGCAGCCUGAGUUUGGCCGUUCCAGAGCAGAGUGGUCCCUCUGAGCCGCCGGGGUAACCCUGCAGUCAGUGAUACAUUAUCUUAGACAAUGUGCAGUACUGGCAAUAACUUCACUCAGGAGAUGUUUCUGAAGAAAAACAAGUAUAAAAUAAAAUGGGACUUUUAACAAACAUGCAAGACACUGGUUGACCACCACAACUGUCACCAUCAGAUAAAUAGUGCUAAAGGCUUUGCUCUUUAAGAGAUGGGAGAAAAUCAAGCUCCUCUGAAAAAUCCUGAAGUUUCUGUCCAUCAUACAACUCAGUGCUAUGAGUCUAAAAGGAUCUGUAGCUGUGAAUAAGCUGCUACUGAGAAAAGGAAGUAGACAAAAAACAAGAUGACUUGGAAGUGAAACAAAGAACUGCUGGUGUUCUCAGAACAUUGGACUGGCCACCCCAGACCUCAACAUUGCUGAAUGUGUUUGGGAUCACUUAAUUCAUGAGACGUAGAAAACUAGUAGACACACUGAAUAGAUCAUUUUCUGUUAAACUGACGUUUUCUGCUUCUUUCUUGAUGCUGACAAAAGAAUGACUCAUGCUUAAUGUCUCUUUGGACUGGAAAGAAACGAAUGGUGGUGUCUGAUAGGGACUCAUCAAUAUGAGAACUGUGGGCUCAUGCUGAUAUCAGAUAUUUUUCAUGUACAUAUCUGCCGAUACUGAUAUAUGAACAUUUAUGAAAUGUAGAAAAACUAGAUCCACUUGGAUUAGUAUUACAGAGAAAUGUAACACUUGUUUGUAGAGAGUCAAAAAGGCAAGAAAAUGAAUAAAAUGCACAUAUUUUAGCAAAGUAUCCCAACCUCAACUAAAUAUUCAGCUCUUCUAGAGUACAAUAAAUAUGUCAUCAAGCAUCAGUUUGAAAAAUGAGUCAAAUCAAAACACCUGGCUGAUGCCAAUAGCUUUUAAAGGCAGUUAUCUGCCCAUAACAACAUGAGACUGAUAUUAUAGCGUGUCCCUAAUCUCUGAUGCAUACGGAUACUACACUUAAACAAGGAAUGCAUUAAUUAACUUGAUUAACUUAAUUGUGUAUCAUUGACACUGAAAAAAAAAAUCAAUACACAUUUAUUCUUCAUUCUACAUACUUACACCAAUAAUGGUGUUGAUAUAAUAUAAGUGAUUUAUGUGGAAAUGAUGUAAACAUUUAAAUAAUGUAAAUGCAAUGUAUUACAUUGAAUUCAAUGCUUCAUGUUUCAGUGUACAAACUAGUGUUUUUCCUGCUCUAACACACCUGCACCAACGUAUCAAGUGAAUAUCAGCAAAAUUUCAGGGUUUUAAAGCAAGAGAAUACAAAACAAUGCCAUGCUAGGGUCCCUCACGACCAUAAUUCAGAAGUACUGGUGUAGGAAGCUCAGGACUGACCUGACAGCUGACUGGCCAUCCUCCUGAGAGUGACAGAGGGACCAUGGACCGGCAUCUCGCUCCUGCUCCUGGAUGCCUGACUAUCUGCGAGAGGCUUCAGCUCCAGAUCCCCCUCUUUCCCAAGAGGAUUCUUUAUGGUGAAAUUCUUCACAUACUUCCCCAGAGGGUCAUCCAGAGAUCCCACGUCGCCAUCCUCCCACAGCUUAUACAGCAUCAAAGUGGGGAAGAUCUUCGACAGACUGGCAAUUCUGGAAUGUUAAAAUGUGUGAAACUGUGUGUUACAGGAAUCGCACACACUCCAAAAAUAACUAAAAUCAUACCAGUCGUUUUGUGUGAUGUACUUAAAAAUAGAGGUUGCUUAGAGGUUCAUGGGUUGGAAAGGCUGAAUAUUCCUGGCCGUGUUAUAUUUUGUUUUGUGAAAAUAAGCUAGAACAUCCUCUACAGAGAAUAUAAGCAUAAGUUUAUAGCAUUUUGCUGUAAUUUUCAGCACAACAUUGCUAUAUGUUUG